UUUAUUUUAUUUUAUUUUAUUUUAUUUUAUUUAUUUUUUUGGCUGUGCCCGCAGCAUGUGGAAGUUCCCAGGCCAGGGACUGAACCCACGUCACAGCAGUGACAAUGCUGGAUCCUUAACUGCUGGGCUGCCAGGGAACUCCCAACAGUGUUUUCAAUUAUUGCCCAUCCCAUGAGUGUGAUGACGGAAGGAGUGAGGCAGUUAAAUUGCCCUGGUCUGAUUGCCCAGGAACUUAACCUUUGCUCGUGGACCUGCCACUCCACCUGGGUCACGUUUCAAGUUUACAUAUGUGUGUGGGUCUGUGUCUGACUCUACUUCUGUUUCAUUGGUCUGUUUGUCUCUUAUGCCCUCUCUACCCUGAGUAUCGUGGCUUCAUAAUAUCCCUGAUACUAGGAAAAGGAAGCCUCUCUAUCUUCUUCUUACUCAAAGUCGUCUGUGCUGUUUUGGACCUUGCACCCUUUAUCGUGAAUUUUAGGCACAACUUGUUGAAUUCCAUAGAAAACUCUGUUGGGUUGGUGAUUGGAAUUAAAUUAGAUGUAUGGGAAACCUGGGGAAGUAUUGCCUGCUUUUCUCCUGUUGCUUCUUUCUUUCCAGAAGCUGUUGUGAUCCUCUGUUUAUUUAUGACUUUGAUACGUCCUUCGAUAAGGGUGUCAGGUCUUUCUCCAAAAAAAGCCUUACACACAUUUUAUUAACUGCAUUCCUUAUAUGUUUUAUCAUUCUGGGACUACCUUUUUUUUAUAUUAUGUUUUGUAGCUAUUACUGGGAACUCUCUUGAUUUUUUAUCUAUUUUUAUUUUUUAAAAUUUUAUUUUAUUGUAUUUUUUGUCUUUUUCGGGCCGCACCCGCAGCAUAUGGAGGUUCCCAGGCUAGGGUUCGAAUCAGAGCUGUGGCUGCCAGCCUGCACCACAGCCACAGCAACUCAGAAUCUGAGCUGAAUCUGCCACCUACACACAGCUCACAGCAAUGCCGGAUCCUUAACCCCCUGAGCGGGGCCAAGGAUUGAACCCACGUCCUAAUGGAUCUUAAUCGGGUUUGUUAACCUCUGAGCCAUGAAGGGAACUCCUCUCUUGACUUUUAUAUGCUAAUAUUCUAUCCAGAAACUCCACUGAAUGCCCUGCUUCGCUUUUCUAGCAUUAGGUGGGUUUUAAGUUUGGGAAUUUUGGUUGGCAGGAUCACUUUGAACAGAGGUUUUGCUUCGUUUUUAUUUGUUUCUCAUUUUCUCUCCUGCUUCUUGAAUCAGUGCAUGUGCUUCCACCCAUCCCACAGACCAAUGCAGUGAAGCAGAACCAGGACUUAAGUUGUAGGGGAGGGGAGCCUUCUUGGCCCGUGGCAGUGUUGGGACUAUUGCUCAUCCGGCCGCCGAGCUAACCGGUGGUUAAUGUGCUUCAUUUUCCUGUGGUUAAAUUUUGUCUUCACCCUCUUUCUUCCCAAGCCCUUGGCACCAGGGUCAGCCUGGCUUUUUGUCCCUACAGAAAGUCCAUCUUAGCCUUUGGCUCCAAGCCUGGAGCCCAGCUCCCAUCUCUCAUGGACCACGUUCCCCACAAGGAGAGAGCUUCCAGUUGGCACCCUUUAGGGCCCAUUCCAGAGCCCAGCAGUCCUCUGGCUGCUGCCCCACUGACUGCUUUGUGUUUCUGAACCUUUUCUGGCCAGUGGAGAUAGUCACCUUAGUUUUGCUUCUGCCAUGAUUUUCUGAUUUAUCUGUCUCGGUUCUGUGUUUCGAGCAGAGGGUGUAUAUCCAAGUUCAAACAUACAGGAAGUUCCCAUUGUGGCUCAGGGGGUUAAGAACCUGACGUAGUGUCCAUGAGGAUAUGAGGAUAUGGGUUUGAUCCCUGACCUCGCUCAGUGGGUUAAGGAUCCGGUGUUUCUGGACUGUGGUGUAGGCCUGCAGCUGCAGCUCUGAUUCCACCCCUGGCCAGGGAACUUCCAUAUGCCGCAGGUGCAGCCCUAAAAAGAAAGAAAAGAUAUAGAGCCAUCUUGACUAAAAAUCUCUCCAAUAUUACCUUUAAAAAAAACCUUCCAAGCAGCAGGUGGUAUUAGAGCAUGUUCCGAGAAUAAAACUAAUUUUUGCAUUAUUCAGUCUGUUUAGAAAAGAGAUUUUUAGCCCAUAUGAAAAUUCGUGUUCACGUGGGGUUCAUUUAAGUUACGAUUCCUCAAAUGCUCAGCUAGUUGACAUUUCUAAAUGUCUCUUCUGCAUAGUUUAACUCUUAGUAAAACCUGGUUUCCACAAAUGGUUUGAAAAAACUGCUUUCCAUUUUAUCCCCUGUGACUUCUUGUCAUAAAUCCGUGUAGCCGAGAGGCGUGAAGCUGGAGUGUUUUAAGUGUAGAUGCAAAGGUGGGCCUGUUUCUCUGGACCACGCGCUAAUAACGCCUCCCUCCGCCGUAAUUUGAACAAAGCAAUUCGUCCCCGUGUGACUGAUUCCCUGCAGACACCGUCUCAGUACCGUUGCACCUGGAACCGCGCAUCCUUGGUGGGGACAUGGGCUGAUGGAUGCUGUCCCAGUCGUUCCUAAUGCUGAAGUGUACAUGAAGUGUACAUUCUCAUGAGAAAUUUAAGAAAACAUGAAUCCAUGGAUCAAAAAUGCUUCACACCUGCAAUCACGUGGGUGUACUGUGCUAAGCCCAUUGCGGAAAUGCAGAGAGCAGGUUAGCUGCUCUUUGAAGGGCAGAAGCCACCUAGAAGGGAGGUGGACCACGCCUAGAAAUUGCCUUCACAGGAAACAGGUGCCCAUGUGUGUGCAGUGCGGGUUUGGGUGGAGAUGAAGGACAGAGGGGAUUCUGCUGUUUCCCUGUCCCAGGUCCCAGCCUUUGUUACCGGCUGCUGAAUGGAACUGAAACCUCAGACCCCUCCAGGGGUCAGCAGGACACACAGCCGGAGCGCAGGGAGCAGGUGCCCCCAGGGAACCGCAGGAGAGGCACCUGCCCCCUGAGGCGCUGUCAGGCUGCGGCCAGCGGCUGCCUUACCUUUUUUCCCGGAGCAAGUGGCAGAAAUCCAGCUAAGUGCCUGUAAAAUGACGAUAGCCCGUAAAUCCUAGCCUUCUGGGUUUCCCUGAUCUCUAACCCCCCAUCUCCGUAUGGACAGCACAGGGAGGUCCUAGUUCGAGUUCAUGUUCCUUCUUUGGGGGCGGGGUGGGGACCAACUCUUCCAGUUUGCCUGGGAUGAAGGGGGCCUGCGGCGGACACGGACUUGCAUGUGCUAAAUCCAGGACCGUCCUGGGUGAGUGGGGACAGCUGGUCCCUGGGCGGGCCUCCAAACAGAAAGCCCCAUCGCCCGCAGGGCUCGCCUCUCUGCUGCUGGAGAAACCGCAUUUCUUCUGUUGUUGCUUAUGACGGAUUGGAGGGGCUGGUGGGGCUGAGUCUACCCGCUUCCCCUCCUGGCUGGAAGAGACGAUAAUAUUCUGUGUCAUUAGAAGGCUAAUUUUUUUCUUUCACAAAUAAGGAUGAGGAGCCAAGUCUCAAGCUGUCGUGAGGACUUGCUUUUUUUUCUUUUUCUUUUUAGGGCUGCGCCUGUGGCAUAUGGAGGUUCCCAGGCAAGGGGUCGAAUCAGAGAUACAGCUGCCGGCCUACAUCACAGCUCACAGCAAUGCCAGAUCCUUAACCCACUGAGCGAGGCCAGGGAUCAAACCCGCGUCCUCAUGGAUACUAGUCAGAUUUUCCACUGCACCAAAAUGGGGACUCCUGUUGUAAGGAUUAAGAGCUGAUAUGUGUAGAUGUUUAAACAUAAUAAAAUGGUAUAUAAAUGUUUGCAUUUUUAUUUACCAAGAUACUGAACCUAUUUUAGCACUAAGAACAGCUUUCCUUAUGCAUGUGCAAAUAAAUAUUAAACCCAAAUAAAUUCAAGGAGAAUUAAAGAUUGCAAUGCUAAGGAAAUUCGUAUGUAACCAAAUAGAAUAGUUUCAGGAAAGGUAGGCUUAACGGCAUCAAUGACUCCAAAAUGGCUGAGUCACUCAGAAUAUGGCUCAACUGUCUCUUCAGACCUGGCAAAGCUCUGUGUAUGAAGUUAUCAUCAUUAGUCUGUGUGUGUGUGUGUGUGUGUGUGUGUGUGUGUGUGAAGGAUUAACAAGCUCCCUGUAAUGCUUUUUAAAAUAGAAAUAUAAUUGUCAUCCUUUU
rnacentral:lncRNA from 1 species